GAAAUGCGAUAAGUAGUGUGAAUUGCAGAAUUCAGUGAAUCAUCGAAUCUUUGAACGCACAUUGCGCCUCUUGGUAUUCCAUGGGGCAUGCCUGUUCGAGCGUCAUUUGUACCCUCAAGCUCUGCUUGGUGUUGGGUGUUUGUCCCGUCUCCGCGCGUGGACUCGCCCCAAAGUGAUUGGCAGCCGGCGUACUGGUCCCGGAGCGCAGCACAUGUCGCGCAAACGAGUGCCUUGGUACGGCGGCGUCCAUAAGCCCCUCUCUCACGCUCUUGACCUCGGAUCAGGUAGGGAUACCCGCUGAACUUAAGC
rnacentral:misc_RNA from 1 species